rnacentral:tRNA from 1 species
GCUAAAGUGGCAGAGUUCGGCAAAUGCAAAAGGCUUAAAUCCUUUAACUCAGAGGUUCAAAUCCUCUCUUUAGCU